CUUGGAACCAAAUGGCUG
rnacentral:siRNA from 1 species